ensembl:lncRNA
GCUAUUCCCAUUGGCCAUCACCACUCUGGUUUUAUGGCUCACGCAUCUUAGAGAAUCAUAGGAUCAGUGUGGUUGGAAAAGACCUCUAGGAUCCCCAAGCCCAACCCCAACAUGUCCUACCAUGCCCGUUGUCCAUGGUCUGCAGUAACCCUGUGAGCUAUGGCGACCCGGGCUGACCCAAUACAGAGCACUGCCCUGUGAUGCUGUGCAUUUAAAGAGCAGCUUUUCCAAUGGAGGAAGCAAGAAAACAGGGAUUGUGUGGUGAGAAAGCUGUCCUAAAGCAGGGAGAGGGUUCCCAGCACCCACACCUCCUCGAGUUUAGGGCAAAUUCAUGUUUUAUCUCCAUCUGUACGAAGCUCUAUCCAUCAUGGUUUCCCUUCAUUCACGUUUUUAUUUUCCCAGCUCUCUGGGGAGCUGGAAUUAUUCAUGGCCACGAGUUUGGCAGAGACAGAAGGGCCGGGGCAGAGCAGGGGGUGGGUAGCAGAGAUAAAGCCGUCCCUCACUGCUCCAGCGCAGAUGGGAGAUGAUGUGUGAUGGGUUUUAUGGUCUUCUCUGUUUCAUUUUGCAUAUAAUGGUUGGAAUGGAGAGCGAUGCAUAACCACGGGGAAGGAAACAACGCAGCGCUCGGUGUUCUGGAGCUCUCUGAAUGGCAGCCACUGUGCUGUGGGAGGAGUGUCCGUGGAACCACAUGAGUGCUGCAGAACACAGCAGAGCCAACACGGCCAACACAGCACACAGCUCUCCGUUCAGCCCAGCAGAGGCAGGCACCUCCAUUGCCCAUCACUUAUAAUCAGAGAUGGAUUCCCUCUCAAAGGCUUUAUCUCCGCUGAGAGCACAUCAGACUUAUUAGAGUGACCACAGAGUCUACAGGCAGUGAUCCUUCAGCCCUGAGAAUCACUGGCAUGAGGAUACAAAUACAGCAAACCUGGGCUCCUGAUGGGAAGGCACAGUGAGAAGAAUGUGACACCACCAAUCCUGUUCUGUUUAAGAGCAAAACUGCAGAACCACUGAGAUGAGAGUGACUUAGCCCUGCUCCUGAACAUGGCAUGGAUACACCUUUGUUUCCAGCAGGCAAUCUGCCUGUAUGUGUAUGUACAAAUGUCGACCUUUGUGAGCCACCUCCAGUAGCCUAAGUUUAGCUUUGCAUUUACAUGAUUCUGAGUUAUCUCCAGACCACUGUGUUCCCCACCCUGAGAUAAAUCCUGCUACUGGGGGGAAAGCUAGAAUUUUCCCAGCUUUCCCCAAAAAGUAAAUCACUUGUGAGCGGUCAUAUGUUCAUGUAAGAUACAUAAACAGUCCUAAGCAGAGAAAAAAAAUCAUGUGCAAAUGAGAAGACUGCUCUAGAAUCCCUUUCAUUUCCAAUGCAUCAACAAAAGUAAC